rnacentral:rRNA from 1 species
GAGUUUGAUCCUGGCUCAGAACGAACGCUGGCGGCAGGCUUAACACAUGCAAGUCGAACGCAUCCCUUCGGGGGUGAGUGGCAGACGGGUGAGUAACGCGUGGGAACGUACCCUUUGGUUCGGAAUAACCCAGGGAAACUUGGGCUAAUACCGGAUGCGCCGGAAACGGGAAAGGUUUACCGCCGAAGGAUCGGCCCGCGUCGGAUUAGCUAGUUGGUGGGGUAAUGGCCCACCAAGGCGACGAUCCGUAGCUGGUCUGAGAGGAUGAUCAGCCACACUGGGACUGAGACACGGCCCAGACUCCUACGGGAGGCAGCAGUGGGGAAUAUUGGUCAAUGGGCGCAAGCCUGAACCAGCCAUGCCGCGUGAGUGAAGAAGGCCUUAGGGUUGUAAAGCUCUUUCAGUGGGGACGAUAAUGACGGUACCCGCAGAAGAAGCCCCGGCUAACUUCGUGCCAGCAGCCGCGGUAAUACGAAGGGGGCUAGCGUUGUUCGGAAUUACUGGGCGUAAAGCGCGCGUAGGCGGAUAUUUAAGUCAGGGGUGAAAUCCCAGGGCCCAACCCUGGAACUGCCUUUGAUACUGGAUGUCUGGAGUUCGGGAGAGGUGAGUGGAAUUCCGAGUGUAGAGGUGAAAUUCGUAGAUAUUCGGAGGAACACCAGAAGCGAAGGCGGCUCACUGGCCCGAUACUGACGCUGAGGCGCGAA